CGUCAAAUGCCUUAAUACUGUAGUGAGCAACUGGGUGUGAAGGUACCGCGGAGAGCCGACGUUUCUUUUAGUGGACAGAGAUGCAUUAGGGUGAGCCCCGAUCUGUGAAAGGGGAGUGCUACCAUGGACCAUCGAUGGCGAGGGUGGAUCAUCGUUGUCUUGGCUGCUAGAUCUGUUUGAGUGUUGAGUGGCGGAUGACGAUCGCGUGGAAGAGGGACGGUCGUUACCCCUCUCUCCGUGAAUCGCCAAAAUACCCGCGCUACUCUCCAACAGUGGAUCCCCCCCGCUCACUCCGAGUCCGUUAGCUCCCGACUCAACAUCAUUGCCUGUAGAUGACAGCACCUGGCAAAUAUAUGUCGCAACUAGCCGUCAGAGAGCAGGGGUGGGAUACUAUUACGCGUUCAAGAGGUGUGCAAGUACCAUAUUUCAAAUAUAAAAUCACUCAUGUGAAUCGUUCCAACUAUCGGCUGGUAUGCGACAAAUUGGAUCAAUUGGGCGGUCCAUUUACGAUACAUAUAAUGUACAGCGUCUACGGUACAGUUCGCUGAUGUUAGUACGUAAUUCGUGCACAGCUCGAAGGAAAUUAUUCCCUCGGUACAGACGGCUCUCGCUUAAGGUUAAUCCACACCAAGGAUUAUUAUUCGAGGUGUACAUAUAGGAGGAUUACGGAAUUAUAUAAGAAUAAUGGAUGCUACAGUAAAAUUGCUGCAACGGGUUCUCUAUGUGCUGUAAAGUAACGCCCUGCUCGGUGUGAAUCUUGUUUUAACACGACG